CUAGACUCCUACGGGAGGCAGCAGUCGGGAAUAUUGCGCAAUGGAGGAAACUCUGACGCAGUGACGCCGCGUAUAGGAAGAAGGUUUUCGGAUUGUAAACUAUUGUCCACAGGGAAGAAAAAAGACUGUACCUGUGAAGAAAGCUCCGGCUAACUACGUGCCAGCAGCCGCGGUAAUACGUAGGGAGCAAGCGUUAUCCGGAUUUAUUGGGUGUAAAGGGUGCGUAGACGGGAUUACAAGUUGGUUGUGAAACCCCUCAGCUCAACUGAGGAACUGCAACCAAAACUAUAAUUCUUGAGUGCAGGAGAGGAAAGUGGAAUUCCUAGUGUAGCGGUGAAAUGCGUAGAUAUUAGGAAGAACACCAGUGGCGAAGGCGGAUUACUGGACGAUAACUGACGGUGAGGCGCGAAAGCGUGGGGAGCAAACAGGAUUAGAUACCCGGGUAC
rnacentral:rRNA from 1 species